GACGAACGCUGGCGGCGUGCUUAAUACAUGCAAGUCGAACGGACAGGCUCUGCUUUUGUGGGGUGCUCGAGUGGCGAACGGGUGCGUACCACGUGAGUAACCUGCCCUUGCCUUUGGGAUAACUUCAGGAAACUGGGGCUAAUACCGGCUAGGAGCUCCUGCUGCUUGGUGGGGGUUGGAAAGUUUCGGCGGUUGGGGAUGGACUCGCGGCUUAUUAGCUUGUAGGUGGGGUAGUGGCUUAGUAAGGCUUCGACGGGUCGCCGGCCUGAGAGGGUGACCGGCCACAGUGGGACUGAGGUACGGCCCGGACGCCUACGGGGGGCAUCGGUGAGGGUUAUAGCGCGAUGGGCGGAAGCCGGAUGGAGCAACUCCGCGUGCUGGAGGACGGCCGUCGGGGUGUAAACCGCGUGCGCCUGGGACGAAGCGUGAGUGACGGUAAUUGAUAAAGAAGCACCGGCUAACUACGUG
rnacentral:rRNA from 1 species